rnacentral:rRNA from 1 species
UACGUAGGUGGCAAGCGAUACUCGGAAUCACUAGGCGUAAAGCGCAGGUAGGCGGUUCGGUAAGUCUUUUUGUGAAAGCUCCCGGCUCAACUGGGAGAGGCCAAGGGAAACUGCCGGGCUAGAGUGUGGUAGGGGGAUACUGGAAUUCCUGGUGUAGCGGUGAAAUGCGUAGAUAUCAGGAGGAAUACCUAUGGCGAAAGCAGGUAUCUGGGCCAUCACUGACGCUGAGCUGCGAAAGCUAGGGGAGCAAACGGG